rnacentral:rRNA from 1 species
GUCUAUUUGGAGUUUUAAAAAGUCUAGCCUGCCCACUGAAUAGGAAAAUAGUUAAAGGGCCGCGGUAUUUUGACCGUGCAAAGGUAGCAUAAUCAUUAGUCUUUUAAUUGAAGACUUGUAUGAAUGGUUGGACAAAGGAAAGGCUGUCUUUAUAAUAUUAUUUGAAUUUAACUUUUAAGUGAAAAGGCUUAAAUAAACCAAGGGGACGAUAAGACCCUAUAAAACUUUAUAUAGAAUUGAGUUUGUUUAAAUUUAAUUAUAAAAAAUUGAGUUAAAAAUUAUAUUUUGUUGGGGCGACAUAGAUAUAAAUAAUUAUAGCAACUGUGUAAAUAAAAUACUGUAAAUUUAUGAAUUAAGAUUAUAACUGGUCCUUUUUAGAGAUUAAAAGAUUUAGUUACUUUAGGGAUAACAGCGUGAUUUUUUUUGAGAGCUCAUAUCGAAAAAAAAGUUUGCGACCUCGAUGUUGAAUUAAAAUAUCUAUAUAGUGUAGUUGUUAUAAAAGAAGGUCUGUUCGACCUUUAAAUUUUUACAUGAUUUGAGUUCAGACCGGCGCAAGCCAGGUCGGUUUCUAUCUUUUGGUAAGAUUACAAAUAAUCUUAGUACGAAAGGACCAGAUGAUUUAAAUAAUUUAUGAUUGUAAU